AUGGCUGGGCGAGAGAGAGGAGAGAGAAAAAGUAUUCCGCGAGUGAUGGCAGGUAGGCCACGCGGUGCCGACAGCGGACGGAUGCAGACGAGAGGGACACAGCAAACGCCCACUUUGUGUCCGUUUUGGACCCAAAUGUGUCUUAAAUUUAGGACGGAAAUGUGUCCACACGGACAUAAAAUGGACACAAAAAAUGGAUCGCUGUGUUGGGCCGUUGUUUUUGUCCGCGCAGGUCCAAACGGACAUGAGAGAAUGAAAUGGGUCUCUCAUUGGAGUUGCUCUUAUAUAUGCUCUCUCUCUAUCUCCUCUAGUACAUCACGGAGUUGA
rnacentral:rRNA from 1 species